AAACUAACAAGGAUUCCCCUAGUAGCGGCGAGCGAAGCGGGAAGAGCUCAAAUUUAUAAUCUGGCACUUUCAGUGUCCGAGUUGUAAUCUCUAGAAGUGUUUUCCGCGUUGGACCGCACACAAGUCUGUUGGAAUACAGCGGCACAGUGGUGACACCCCCGUACACGGUGCGGACGCCCAGCGCUUUGUGAUACACUUUCGAAGAGUCGAGUUGUUUGGGAAUGCAGCUCAAAUUGGGUGGUAAAUUCCAUCUAAAGCUAAAUAUUGGCGAGAGACCGAUAGCGAACAAGUACCGUGAGGGAAAGAUGAAAAGCACUUUGGAAAGAGAGUUAACAGUACGUGAAAUUGUUGGAAGGGAAACGCUUGAAGUCAGACUUGCUUGCCGGAGCUUGCUUCGGUUUGCAGGCCAGCAUCAGUUUUCCGGGGUGGAUAAUGGCGGUUAGAAGGUAGCAGCUUCAGCUGUGUUAUAGCUUUCCGCUGGAUACAUCCUGGGGGACUGAGGAACGCAGCGUGCUUUUAGC
rnacentral:rRNA from 1 species